rnacentral:lncRNA from 1 species
UUACCUAACCAAUUUGAUGAAUUAUAUUUUGAUUAGAUCACUAAAUAAUUUGAGUUAAUCCAUGUCAUUAAGGUUGAUCAGUGUGACUGAUCUAGAUGCCAUUUCAAUCAGCAUGACCCUAAUUCGAUUUAAUGACUUGGUGAAGUCAGUAGAAAGAUUAUGGUCUACUGAUUAAUCUCUUCUAAAUUAUUAGAUUUCUUAAAUAAGAUAGUUAUGAUGAUAACUAGAUCAUAGCCUCCCAUUAAAGUGAAUAGUAAUUGAUCCAUUAUUUUU